rnacentral:tRNA from 2 species
GCCCGGAUGGCGGAACAGGUAGACGCGCAGGACUUAAAAUCCUGUAACCAGUAAUGGUUGUGCGGGUUCAAUUCCCGCUCCGGGUA